AUUGAACGCUGGCGGCAGGCCUAACACAUGCAAGUCGAGCGGAGCGGGGGAGGGGUGAGUAAUGCCUAGGAAUCUGCCUGUUCGUGGGGGAUAACGUCCGGUACCGGGCGCUAAUACCGCAUACUAUCAGAUGAGCCUAGGUCGGAUUAGCGAGUUGGUGGGGGAAAGGCCUACCAAGGCGACGAUCCGUAACUGGUCUGAGAGGAUGAUCAGUCACACUGGAACUGAGACACGGGCCAGACUCCUCCGGGAGGCAGCAGUGGGGAAUAUUGGACAAUGGGCGAAAGCCUGAUCCAGCCAUGCCGCGUGUGUGAAGAAGGUCUUCGGAUUGUAAAGCACUUUAAGUUGGGAGGCGUUACCAACAGAAUAAGCACCGGCUAACUUCGUGCCAGCAGCCGCGGUAAUAC
rnacentral:rRNA from 1 species